AGGUCCCCUUUGUCUGUUGACUGUUCGAAUUGUGGGCUGGCAUACACACCACAGUAGUUAUUUGUAAUUCCAUUUGAUGGCUGGCAGGUGGAUAUUCAGGUCAGGAAGCUUGCAUCAACAGGGCUGACCCGAAGCUACCAAUCAGCAUGGAGGAUGCCAGAUGGAGUGUUGAGGAGUUGGCAAUAGCUGAAUUAAAGGGAGUGCCACUUGUCCAUGUUGGUCAGGACACACGCUUGGACUAUCGAUUUAUUGAUGUCCGAACACUGGCAAAUCAAGCCAUUUUCCGUAUAUAGCAUCAAGUUGAAAACAUUGGUGAAAGCAACACCAUCGGCGUUCGUCGCCUUCAUCCUUGACCUCCCCAUGUUGUCUCUGUACUGCCCAACGGUACAUCAUAUGCUUCUCCUCCAUGGUCGAUUGUUCACUAGGCUGGCCCAUGGAAGCACCACCACUCAGGUCAACGGUUUCACAGACGCUUAUGUUUGUUCAUUUAGCGUGUG
rnacentral:rRNA from 1 species